CGUACACGCAUUAUUUGGAACAGAAAAUUACGUAAUUUAUCGACCUGCUGGCUUGUAUUUGUUAUAAAUCAUAAAAAAAUUAUGGAAAACAUCAUGAACAAUAAUGAAACAAACCGAACCUUUAGCUACAAUAAUAAAAUGACCCCAUGACGCCAGUGGAACUACGUGGUUUUCUUUCAUGAUGAUUUGAUGAUACCAUAAUGGAAUUAGCCAAGUUUUCGCCGUAUUGGGUGCUAGAUGCCCCUUGGAGUUAAGCCCCAGUGCCACUAUACUACCUUACCAGUUAUGUGUGGGUGUUAUAGUCCUAAGACACCCCGGAGGUACAAAGGGCCUUCACAAACUCACGCCACGCCUUCCUAUCUUC